AAACAGAAAGGAAUCUGACAAUGGAUUUGCUCUCUGCAUGUAUAGUUUCAAAGCAGAAAACUCAUAUGCAAAGAUAUAGUAAAGGUGGAAGAAGUACAGUUUGUUUUCACACAUAGGAGAAAACUGAGUGGGCUAAUUUAGACAUCCAGGGCACUCUCCUCUAUCUUGUCCGCUAGUUGGCCACUUCCCCCAUCUAAAGACUGAGAAGAGAAAGACAACAGAUGUGGUGAUAUGAAAGGGAAGAACAAUGGCAAUGAUUGGAAGGACAGAGGAAUUGAGCAGAGAGCAGUGCUGGGUUGGAGGAGUGAAAAGUAAUCUGGAAAAUGCUUCUGAAAAUCUGUCCUUCUACACAGUUUGCGCCUGUGGAGACCUCUCAGCCAACUGGCCCCCCUCAAAGCACUCUCAGCUUCUGUUGUCUACACACUGUUGCCUCUGGGCCACAGUAACACCAGCACAUGAAGACAAUUACUUGUUGGAGUGGAGAGACAGAGCCUUAAAGUAGGAGUGAUUUCAUGAUUACUGUUGGCUUCCCAACGAUGAAAAUAAGACUGAUGAGAGCUAACCCUUCCAGAGUGACAGAAUGCUAUAUCCGGAACAGUUCAUUGGCUCCCACAACAAUCCUUUAAAGCAGUUACUGAGAGAGAGAUGAGGAAACUGAGAUGCAGAGAGAAUCAGUAACUUGCACAAACUCCCUCACUGAGGCAGUGCUAAGCAGAUGCAAUCUUCACCCGCGGGGCAUGCAGCUAUCUUUGAGAUGGGAGGAUUAGCCUGGUGGUGAGGCUCCUCAAUGUCCCUCUCCCCUCAUUCCAAUGUGGAGCAGCCUUUCCUCUUACAUUCGGUCUCUACACGCAGUAAUGAAAACCCUUCCCUUGGAGUUAACCUGCUCCCUCAGGGUCAGGAUUCACAUCAACCUUCAC
rnacentral:lncRNA from 1 species